UUUACACGGAUCAGUCGUCCUGGUCUCUUUGCAGAAAAACAGCCCCAAAGCAUGAUGUUUCCACCCCCAUGCUUCACAGUAGGUACGGUACUCAUCCUUCGU